CACGAUUCUCUCUAUUUUUUUUCUCUCUCUUUGAUUUUUCUUUUUCCCUUCCUCCUCACGAAACACGAUUUCCUCUCUUAAGUUUUUCUUCCUCUUCUCAUCUCCUCCUCUUCUCAAAACGAUUCUCUCUCUCGUAUUUGGUGUGACUUCAUCCUAAACAAACAGCACCGUCGAGAUCCAAAGCUUCCUUUCCCGAGCUUGAAAUCGGCGACUGGUGGUGGUAUGGGUAUGAGCUUCGUCGGAGACAAGGGGCUUCACGCCAAGGGUUCGAACUGGUUGGCUCUUUUCCGACGUUUUUGUGCUAAAGAUGGAGAAACAGAUCUGUAUUAUAGUUUGGUGGUGGCAGUUUGGGGAGAGCAAUCAAAAAUCCCCAAAUAUACAAGCCUCGUGGCUGUGCUCACAAGAGGAUGCAAUAGAACCUGUGUGCCAAAAGAGGUAAAGGAGGAGGGGGGAUUGGAUCAAGUGGAGAAGGAUUUCUCUGACCCUGAUUUCCUCAUGGUAGCCGACGAUCCCAACUCCUAUCGUUCCUGUGUUCAAUCACCCGGAGUGGAAAUGAAAGGAUUUUUUCUAAAACUGCAGGUUCACAUCCAGGAGAUAAGGUACCUUUUUCAUUGCUUUUUGAUUUUGAUAAGACAUUGUGGUAAGAUUUCAUCAAAUCCAAUUGUUAAACCAACAAUCUAGUUAAGAAUGUAAUCAGUUUAGACAAGAGUUAGGUGCUGUUAUCAUGCGUCUAGGUUUUGUGGAAGCCUCUGGGCUUAUGGAGAGCUGAGACGGCUCGUUGAUAUACUCUCAUUUUGUGUUUGUUGUAACUGACAAAUAUCAUUUGGUUAAUUGUGUUGUUUUUUGUUGGUCGCAAUAUAUCAGGAGUGAAUUAAAAAAGAAAAUUGUUCACAUAUUCCCUUUCUCUGCUCUCUGAACCUAUCAAAUUGGUUUUAAGAUUGUUUUGUCCUAUAAUGAAUAUAUUGGUUUUCGGAGGAAAUGUUUAUGUUGGUUCUCAUAUCUGCAAGGAGGCACUUAGACAAGGUUUCUCCGUAUCUAGUCUUUGCAGGUAUUUGUGUAUCAUUACCAGCUUUUGAGUUUCAGUCCUUUUUGUUUUAAAUCUGCUUUGUUAGUCAUAAUGUAUUUACAUAGUUUAACCUUAGUAUUUGCAUUGUUAUUAGGUCUGGAUGAUCUACUUUUCAUAAUUCAUGGGUCGAGGAUGUAACCCGGCAUCAGCCUGCACUAGAAGGAAUAACAGAUUUCAUUUGUUGGUGGUUUCUGUUCCAACUCACAUAUGGUCAAGAUGGGUAUAGAGCCAGGUUUGCAAGUUGUAAACCAGAUGAAAGCUUCUUCGAGCAAAGACAACAGCAAGUUUGAGAUUUCUUGCAAGGCGAUAAAGGUCAAGCUUGAGAUCCGAGGACGAUGCUGAGCAACCUAUCCUUUAUUCACAAGUUUAUAAACUUAUUUUUUGAAUUAUGUACGUUUACUUUGUAAUACUGAUCUUUUGUAUCAUGGUUUCAUUUAUGAAAAUAUAGUUUUUUUCAA